rnacentral:rRNA from 1 species
AUGAACGCUGGCGGCGUGCCUAAUACAUGCAAGUCGAGCGAACUGACGAGAAGCUUGCUUCUCUGAUGUUAGCGGCGGACGGGUGAGUAACACGUGGAUAACCUACCUAUAAGACUGGGAUAACUUCGGGAAACCGGAGCUAAUACCGGAUAAUAUUUUGAACCGCAUGGUUCAAAAGUGAAAGACGGUCUUGCUGUCACUUAUAGAUGGAUCCGCGCUGCAUUAGCUAGUUGGUAAGGUAACGGCUUACCAAGGCAACGAUGCAUAGCCGACCUGAGAGGGUGAUCGGCCACACUGGAACUGAGACACGGUCCAGACUCCUACGGGAGGCAGCAGUAGGGAAUCUUCCGCAAUGGGCGAAAGCCUGACGGAGCAACGCCGCGUGAGUGAUGAAGGUCUUCGGAUCGUAAAACUCUGUUAUUAGGGAAGAACAUAUGUGUAAGUAACUGUGCACAUCUUGACGGUACCUAAUCAGAAAGCCACGGCUAACUACGUG